AAGCUCGUAGUUGAAUUUCGGGGUUCUACCGUUGGUCGGGCUAACCAGUCUGUACUAGCGUGUAGAAUUCCUACCUUCUGGGGAACCAUCAUGUUAUUAAUUUAGCGUGGUGGGAAACCGGGACCUUUACCUUGAAAAAAUUAGAGUGUUCAAAGCAGGCUUACGUCUGAAUACAUUAGCAUGGAAUAAUAAAAUAGGACGGUGGUCCUGUUUUGUUAGUUUCUGAAUCACCGUAAUGAUUAAUAGGGAUAGUUGGG
rnacentral:rRNA from 1 species